CAGGUCCCGUCAAUUCCUUUAAGUUUCAGCCUUGCGACCGUACUCCCCAGGCGGAAUGCACUCCUACGGGAGGCAGCAGUAGGGAAUCUUGCGCAAUGGGCGAAAGCCUGACGCAGCCAUGCCGCGUGAAUGAUGAAGGUCUUAGGAUUGUAAAAUUCUUUCACCGGGGAAGAUAAUGACGGUACCCGGAGAAGAAGCCCCGGCUAACUUCGUGCCAGCAGCCGCGGUAAUACGAAGGGGGCUAGCGUUGCUCGGAAUUACUGGGCGUAAAGGGCGCGUAGGCGGAUAUUUAAGUCGGGGGUGAAAGCCCAGGGCUCAACCCUGGAAUAGCCUUCGAUACUGGAUAUCUUGAGUACGGGAGAGGUGAGUGGAACUCCGAGUGUAGAGGUGAAAUUCGUAGAUAUUCGGAAGAACACCAGUGGCGAAGGCGACUCACUGGCCCGUUACUGACGCUGAGGCGCGAAAGCGUGGGGAGCAAACAGGAUUAGAUACCCUGGUAGUCCACGCUGUAAACGAUGAGUGCUAGUUGUCGGCAUGCAUGCAUGUCGGUGACGCAGCUAACGCAUUAAGCACUCCGCCUGGGGAGUACGGUCGCAAGAUUAAAACUCAAAGGAAUUGACG
rnacentral:rRNA from 1 species